UACGGAGGGUGCAAGCGUUAUCCGGAUUCACUGGGUUUAAAGGGUGCGUAGGCGGGUUGGUAAGUCCGUGGUGAAAUCCCCAAGCUUAACUUGGGAACUGCCGUGGAUACUAUCAAUCUUGAAUAUCGUGGAGGUAAGCGGAAUAUGUCAUGUAGCGGUGAAAUGCUUAGACAUGACAUAGAACAUCAAUUGCGAAGGCAGCUGGCUACACGGAUAUUGACACUGAGGCACGAAAGCGUGGGGAUCAAACAGG
rnacentral:rRNA from 1 species